AAAGAAACCCAAGACUUGCUCUGACUGCUACUACUACUGCUGUGCUUCAGUAACUAGUAACCCUUGCAUACUCUGACAGCAGACAACAUGAAUAUCUGAGAUGACGUUUGGAAAUAUAUCUGACCACAUUUUCCCAGAGAUAGUUUGACAUAUCGGGUGUGAUGCAUCAGGACCAGAAUGACAGAUUUAUCACCUGUUGACACCUGUUCCAAACUUCAUUCCACUAGGUGGUGGUAAUACACCUGUUAAGCUGUUGUCAACAGCCAAUAAACACCUGAAGAAGAAGAAGUUGACGAAGAUGGAGUCAACGGCGCCUGACAGAAAUGUUUGUGACUGGGGGAAAGAUAGAGUCCAGAGGCGCAGCAACCACCAGAAGAGACAAGGUUCCUGUAGGUGUUGAGUUGAAACCCUCAGCAACAAUUAUCUGGAGGCAAAGAAAGGCCUGAUCUUCAUGGUGAUGACCACCUCGCCGCCACAUGUAGGCUCUGGCCACAGGCAUUGGCUGAGUAGCAGCGCCUUGUCACCAGCCACCUCCAUCGAGCCCUGUUUGGAGCGAACAAGGAUAGAAAAGUGUGAGAUCUGAAAAGGGUGACAUGGACAGAUUCAAGAAAACUUGCAUUAAACAGCAUCUGGGGUGACUGGUUAGCCUCAGAGUUCAGUAUAACCAUGUUUUCAGCCAAAUCAUUUCUCAGGCUCAUCUGAGUUGGGGAAAGCAAAGGUGAGCUACAGUUUAACUGUAUGCUAACUGCAUAAGAAUAUACAUCUGCCCUGAUGGUCAUCCUGUUCAGCUAGCUGUAAUAGCUGCCCUUAGAACUUGUACUUGCUGUUGACUCAGCGAUGAGCGUGACAAAUGAUCUGACUGAAAACAUGGUUAUUCCGAGUUUUCUCUGAGGUGGUGUUGGAAAAGUUAGCACUGGCUGUAGAGUCACUGUAAACUGCUCAAAAUAAACUUGCCUAUUCAUGCUUCCUGUUCUUU